rnacentral:rRNA from 1 species
AGAGUUUGAUCAUGGCUCAGGACGAACGCUGGCGGCGUGCUUAACACAUACAAGUCGAACGGAAAGGCCCCUUCGGGGGUACUCGAGUGGCGAACGGGUGAGUAACACGUGGGUGAUCUGCCCUGCACUUUGGGAUAAGCCUGGGAAACUGGGUCUAAUACCGAAUAGGACCGCAUGCUUCAUGGUGUGUGGUGGAAAGCUUUUGCGGUGUGGGAUGGGCCCGCGGCCUAUCAGCUUGUUGGUGGGGUAAUGGCCUACCAAGGCGACGACGGGUAGCCGGCCUGAGAGGGUGUCCGGCCACACUGGGACUGAGAUACGGCCCAGACUCCUACGGGAGGCAGCAGUGGGGAAUAUUGCACAAUGGGCGCAAGCCUGAUGCAGCGACGCCGCGUGGGGGAUGACGGCCUUCGGGUUGUAAACCUCUUUCAGUAUCGGCGAAGCUCCAGGAUUUUUCUUGGGGUGACGGUAGGUACAGAAGAAGCACCGGCCAACUACGUGCCAGCAGCCGCGGUAAUACGUAGGGUGCGAGCGUUGUCCGGAAUUACUGGGCGUAAAGAGCUCGUAGGUGGUUUGUCACGUUGUCUGUGAAAACUCACAGCUUAACUGUGGGCGUGCGGGCGAUACGGGCAGACUGGAGUACUGUAGGGGAGACUGGAAUUCCUGGUGUAGCGGUGGAAUGCGCAGAUAUCAGGAGGAACACCGGUGGCGAAGGCGGGUCUCCGGGCAGUAACUGACGCUGAGGAGCGAAAGCGUGGGGAGCGAACAGGAUUAGAUACCCUGGUAGUCCAA